rnacentral:rRNA from 1 species
CCCGCUGAACUUAAGCAUAUCAAUAAGCGGAGGAAAAGAAACUAACAAGGAUUCCCCUAGUAACGGCGAGUGAAGCGGGAAGAGCUCAAAUUUAAAAUCUGGUUUGCUUGCAAAUCCGAGUUGUAGUCUGAAGAAACGUUUUCCAUGAAAAUCGAGGCACAAGUCCUUUGGAACAGGGCAUCAUAGAGGGUGAGAAUCCCGUCCAUGGUCUCGAAUCUUUCAUUUUGUGAUACGUUUUCUAAGAGUCAGGUUGUUUGGGAAUGCAGCCUAAAAUGGGUGGUAAAUUUCAUCUAAAGCUAAAUAUUGGCGAGAGACCGAUAGCGAACAAGUACCGUGAGGGAAAGAUAAAAAGCACUUUGGAAAGAGAGUUAAACAGUACGUGAAAUUGUUGAAAGGGAAACGUUUGAAGUCAGUCGCGUCGGCCGAGACUCAACCUUGCUUCUGCUCGGUGCACUUCUCGGUUGACGGGUCAGCAUCAAUUUUGACCGCCGGAUAAAGGUCGGGGGAAUGUGGCAUCCUUCGGGAUGUGUUAUAGACCUCGAUUCGGAUACGGCGAUUGGGAUUGAGGAACUCGGCGCUUUGCGUCCAGGAUGCUGGCAUAAUGGCUUUAAGCGACCCGUCUUGAAACACGG